rnacentral:tRNA from 1 species
AUUUAAAUAGUUUAAUUUAAAAUAUUGAUUUGUGGAGUCAAUGAUAUUUAUUUGUAUAAAUUUUAAAUU